rnacentral:lncRNA from 1 species
AUUUACACACAAAAACAAAUUCAACAAAAUUCCUAACAACUUUGACGCCUCAUCCUAACAAAUUAACCACUCAAAUUUCAACACCCUCCACCUUAUUCUAACCACACUCCUACCCCCUAUACCUCUUACCCCACAUACCCCCUAAAUCCCACCCCACUCACAAUACAUACGCAUACACUCACUGGAAAUAAAAAAUAGACCAUAUACGCACAACACACAGAUAUACACACUAUGGGUGAAAUACACGUACAUAUACAAUACACACACCUCACAAGUAACAAAUAGAGGCAAGGGCCCACAGGGGAAUAUACUCACAUACAACCCUCACCAUUAAGGAGGAACUGGUCCAUUUUUUUUCAGGGGAGCACACACAAUAUACACACAUUACAUCACAGAAAGGGGGGAGAGGCACAAAAACUCACUGGAAGGGCAACAAUCUCACACAUAUAUUCAUAAUUCCACUCACACACAGAGAUCACUCCCCACCGUCACUCUCACAGCCACACACACUAACACAUAGACGACACACACAAAUAAAGAAAAUAGAGGAAUUGGGGAGAAAAAACACACAUCAAUAUACACAACACCACACACACCAGUGAGAGAGAGAUCGAAGGAGAAAAAUUGAGAAAACAAAGAGAAAAUUGAGUGAGAGAGAUUUCGAGAGAGAGAGGAGAAAACAGAGAAGAGAUUGGGAGAGAAAGAAAAAGAGGGGAGGAACAGCGGAGAAGGAAUUUCCAACGAAUUCUCGCUGGAAAACGUCACUGCCAUCAGAAAUUUGAUCCAUUCUCAGGCUCCCACCACCGUUUGAGCUCGCCGAAGCUCCGGCAACACAACCAUAACUACUCAGCUCCGUUUUUCAAUUGAAUCGUCACCUAGAAAUCGUUCGAAAACCUAAAUUCUCCUUUGAUAGUGUUAAACAGUCGACAGAUGGUUUAGUUUGAGUUCGAGGAUUUGUGCGAGGUUCCAGAAUCACAAAGUUGUAUUUCGAUCGGAUAGUUCAAAUUGAAAUAAGAUUGAGGUCCAAUUCUUUAACUCUAUCUUUUUUCAUUUUUAUCAUAAUAUGAUGGGUUGAUGUUGUGAUUACGUGUUUGAUGAUAUAUUUUGAUAAGUGUGUGUGAGAAAUUUUAAUCGUCAUAGUUGUGACUAAUAUUGACUAAUCAUGUGAUUAGAAUAAGUGGAACGAAAGUUGAAAAUUGAUAAGAAGGAAACAUUAGUUGUUUUGAUUCAUUGAUGUCGUUGAAUGUGAAAAUGUCAUGAUAGAUCGAAUCGAUAGGCAAAUUAUAGGUUUUGGGGUAGGCAAACCUUAGGAUUCUGUAUUAACGAAUGUGUGAAUGCUUGUUUGGAAUGGUUUCCUAUUUAUAUCGCAUUUUUAUCAAAUGUAUUUAUUAAUCGAAGAAUGCCUCGAGGUCAUGUGUAUAUAUUUAUUCACCGAGGAAUGCCCUAACGUAUUAUGUACGCAAAGGAGGUUCGUGAUGAACGCCCAAGGCAUCGGGUAAAGCAUUGGAGCUUAGUCUAGGAUUAGUUUAGAAUAGGAUUUACAUUUUCGUAUUUUUCUAUUUUUGGGACUGUAUAACUCGGACUGGACAUUAUUUUGGUUUUGAACUUUGUUUGAUUUGUUUGUUGCUUGUUUUAUGUGUUUUUGUGUGAUUUAUAUAUUUAUGGUGUCAAAUUAGUCGAUAUGCUCUACCAAGCGACUGUAGUCGAACCACGAGAUCGAGGGGUGUCUUAACACAUUUCCCUCGGUCAACAGAUUUCCUUAACCGAAAUCUUUGUACAUGGACCAGUUUUAAAGAGUCAAAUUGUUUUGAAAAAGGAUUUCCAGUGGUGACUUGGCACACCCGAUUUAUGCCAAGUGGCAACUCUGAAUUUAAUUGUGAAAUGAAUCUUUUUCGAAACAAAUCUUCAUUUUUAUCACUUUAAUAAUAAAAUCCUUUCAAACUUAAAAUCAAUCUUUUUUGGGUUAAAAAGAGGGGUGUGGCAGCUCUGACGACUCCACUGGGGAAUUUUCAGAAUUCGAGCUUAUUUUGGAAGUUGUAUCGACUUAGUUCGACAUUAUGGAUGUAUAAACAUUGUUUGUGUUUUCAUUUGUAUUUGGUUUACACUUGUUGAUCAUCUAUGUGCUAAAUGUUUACAUUUUUUAUUAUGUGUUACCGCUUUAUAUUUGGCAUCAUGUGCAUAACCCGAGUCAUUUUUUUUGCAACAAGUCUAUAGUACACGUGUGUACAAGACCUCUAGUUGAGUCACCUUUAUUUUAGGAGAGGGAGCCGUUGGGUGGAUGGAGUAGGUAGAAAGUUAUCGCAGUCACUAUCAACCAUACGCUCCCUUGAACAACCUUGUUAGUGAACCUCAGCUUAGGUCAGCCUUUAGGUCAUGCUUAUCUGCAUCAUAUUGAGACCUAACGGGCACAUAAUCCUUUGUAGGAGACUCACCCCUCAAAGUCCGGAUUUGAAACAAACUUGAGAAAACAUGGAGGGAAUUCAAAAUUUGAAUCUCCAAACUUCUGAAAAACGCCCAACUUGAAAGCCAUUAAUGGAGGAUUGCAGAUUUUCUAUUUUUUACACAAAUUUGGGGAUGAGCCUUCUGCCUUUUUCGGAUUUGUGAGCUGGAAUGACGAAUUUGGGGCAGGAUCUUUGCAGUGGUGGCAAACGGCGACAGCUAUGGAGGGAGGCUAGGGUUCUGGUUUUGGUAAGAUGGACAGAUGGGGAAGAAGAAAGGGAAAGGGAUGGAUUGUUUUGGUUGUGUUUUUGGAAAAUUGAUGUGACCAUAUGCUGGUCUUCUUGAAACAAACAACACGCAUUUUCUGGUUCUUAACCGGCGCAUGGGAUGUUUUAUUUAAUG